rnacentral:lncRNA from 1 species
CUUUGGUUUUGGUGGUGGGCACCUGUAAUUCCAGUUACUUUGGGAGGCUGAGGCAGGAAAGAAGUUAUUGAUACAAAUAUUUGCAAAAAUAAAAAGUUAUUUGAUACCCACAAAUAAUUCCAAAGUAUGUCCAUGUGCUAAUUUGUAAAUAGGAAGGAAGUUCUUAUUUUGAAACUUGCAGCCUGGAAAAUAUUUAUAAGGUUGUUAUGACAUUGAUAACUGGAGUACUUCCUAUAUCAACUUACUAGAAUUUUGGAGACUGACUUUAAAAUAUAAUAAAAAGGGAAAGACAGGGAAUUGAACUUCCUUCUCAUGUUUUUUACAAAUUUUACAGGGAGCCAGUCUCAUUUAUGUAAUCACAGAUUUAUUUUACAAGUUUGGACUUGCAAAAAUAUGCCAAAAUUUGAAUGCCUUACCCAUUUUUUUGGGAAGCAGCUAAAAUAUGUAAUGCACUGACCUUUUAAUGUUCACUUUGAUUGGUUAAUGGUUACACCUUUACAGCUCAGUCAGAUUGUAAACAAGGGGACAAAACUGAAUAUAUAAGGUCAGAGAAGUAUAGUGACAAAAUUUAUGAACCCCUAUACAUUUCCUAUGAAUAAAAAAUGAUUAAAAUUCAUACGUUUGCUUUUUAAAUAUAUACAUAAGAAACAUCAAAAAUUAAUUCAAAGCAUAUAUUAGCAAAUAUAUUCUUAAUUUUGUCUUGAAUAACCUUCUUUAGGUGUGCCUUUUUCUACAAAGUUAUGUCUUCAUUAAACAUUUUUCAAAUUAUUAGUAUUAUUAUUUUUAACUGAUGCUUCAUAUUUUAUUUCCCCUCUGCUCUCCCAUCCCACCUUUGGUGAUGGUUGUGCCCAUCUGAGCAUUUCGGGGCACAUGACCGUAAGUAAAUCUUGAGAGAGGAGUGGAAUUAUUGUCUAAACACUAACAGAAGGGG